GUUGCAGCCCGUUUGGUCCCCGCGGCUUUCCGUAGUUCAGGGCCUGGGCGUCGACGCAGUAGCGAACUCACGGCGGAAACAAACAACCGAACAAGACCUCAGCUCGCAGCUCGGAGGUGUCUCUUACAUAAACGGGGACUAGAGAGAGUAUAAAACAGAAAACAUGCAUUCAGUCACGCUGGACAGCAGUGGUUCUCCGAGGAAGCGGACGUUUUCUCGGGGAAUGAGCGAGGACGAGUCUCUGCGCAGCAUCAUAAAGGAGACUGAUUGUUCAUCCAGACGCCUGACACGAAGCGACAGCCGAGCAGGGACCCUGAAGAGGAGAAGUGACAGUCAGUUUGACCAAGAUCUCGACAUGGGACUCCCAGAAAUGUUAGAGCUGCAGGCCAGCUAUGAUGAGGUGGUGCAGGAGCUGCGUGGGCUGGAGGUCGAACGAGAGGCUCUGUUGUUCCAGGUGGACGUCCUACAGGACACGCUGGAGGGGGUAGAGGAGCUGCUGGCCGAGGCCCAGAGGGAAGCUGGACAGGCUAAUCUGGAGCUGGAAAGAGAGAAAGAGGCCAAGAAGAAGCUGGAGAGCAUGGUCUGCUCCCUGAUGCAAGAGUUGGAGAGAAUAAAAGAAGAAAGGAAUAACAAACCAUCUGCUCCAAUCAGCGCACAUGGAAAUGAGGGCGAGACAACAAGACAAGGAUCCCAAAUGGAAAAUGAACAGAUUGAAGCUGCACAGAGAGAAGACACGUGUUCGUCUGCGUCUGAGCCUCUCGGCAGCAAAAGCAGAGGCGGAGCAUCUGAGAAGGUGGUACAGAGUGUAGGGGCAGAGGAUGAGGGAAGCUUCCUGACAAAGCUGCGGAAGUUUGCCAGUAAGCCCCUGGGCCACAUGCCUUCUCUUGCACUGGACAGCCAGGCUUCUGAAGAUGGGGUCCUCCAGAGGCCUUACGAAAACAGCGUCAGUGAUGGACGAGAUCCUUCACCUGACAGGAACGACUCAGACAGCAUAAGUGCCUAUGAAGAUGCGUCUGCUGAGACUCCAGAGCAGGACAAGAUUUUUCCAGGUGAAGGAGAUGCUUUGGAUCUGCCCGACGAUUCUGAGAAUAAAGAGAAAAGUCCGACCGCCAGCUGCCAGGACAGCGAGAGCAAGACUGAAGACCCCAAAAACCCUGAGGCCUGCGUUGUGUCUUAA
rnacentral:lncRNA from 1 species